AGAAAACAAUAAUUAGAACCAGCGCUCUGAGAUACUGCUGUGUCUGGGCAAAUGAACUUGCAUUGCUUGGUGCUGGAAAGACAUCAAAGUUGGUGCCAGAGUGGGAAGCCUCUUAUGUUCAAAAAGUACAACACUACUUACCCAAGGACUGGAAUCAACGAAACUGGAGACAUGCUGGAGAACUGUUCAUUUGACUAGAGUUUCCUAAAGUCAAGUUUCCUAAAGUCAAGCAUGAUGAUGUCUCCAAGAAGGCAUGCAGGUGCAGAACAAACAGUACACAUGCAGUUUUUAAUCAACGGGACAUGACCUCUAAUGACUGAUGAAAAAUCACUUUUCAUUACUUGUGAUUUGCAGAUGGCGGAAACUCAUUCAAACUAUUUUCAU